rnacentral:rRNA from 1 species
UUGGAAGUGAACCAUCUCAGUACCUCGAGGAAGAGAAAACAAAGCAGUGAUUCCGUCAGUAGCGGCGAGCGAACGCGGAAGAGCCCAAACCGUGACGGCUUCGGUCGUUGCGGGGUUGUGGGGCUCGGCCACAUGGAGUCAAAAACCCGCAGCCUAGUCGAAGAGCAUGGAACGGCUCACCAAAGAAGGUGAUAGUCCUGUAGGCGAAAGGUUGGCGGGCUCCGGCUGAGUUCCCGAGUACCACGGGGCACGAGAAACCCUGUGGGGAUCUGGGGGGACCAUCCUCCAAGGCUAAAUACUCCUCUGUGACCGAUAGCGCACUAGUACCGUGAGGGAAAGGUGAAAAGAACCCCUGUUAGGGGAGUGAAAUAGUACCUGAAACCGUCGAUCUACAAGCAGUGGAACCGCUAUGCCGGGCUUUCGGGUCCGGAAUGCGGAACCACGUGCCUUUUGCAUAAUGAGCCGGCUAGUU